rnacentral:rRNA from 1 species
AAUCUGCGAUAAGCGCCGGUAAGGUGAUAUGAACCGUUAUAACCGGCGAUACCCGAAUGGGGAAACCCAGUGUGAUUCGUCACACUAUCAUUAACUGAAUCCAUAGGUUAAUGAGGCGAACCGGGGGAACUGAAACAUCUAAGUACCCCGAGGAAAAGAAAUCAACCGAGAUUCCCCCAGUAGCGGCGAGCGAACGGGGAGGAGCCCAGAGCCUGAAUCAGCAUGUGUGUUAGUGGAAGCGUCUGGAAAGGCGCGCGAUACAGGGUGACAGCCCCGUACACAAAAGCGCAUGUGUUGUGAGCUCGAUGAGUAGGGCGGGACACGUGGUAUCCUGUCUGAAUAUGGGGGGACCAUCCUCCAAGGCUAAAUACUCCUGACUGACCGAUAGUGAACCAGUACCGUGAGGGAAAGGCGAAAAGAACCCCGGCGAGGGGAGUGAAAAAGAACCUGAAACCGUGUACGUACAAGCAGUGGGAGCACAGGUUUACCUGUGUGACUGCGUACCUUUUGUAUAAUGGGUCAGCGACUUAUAUUCUGUAGCAAGGUUAACCGAAUAGGGGAGCCGGAGGGAAACCGAGUCUUAAUUGGGCGUUAAGUUGCAGGGUAUAGACCCGAAACCCGGUGAUCUAGCCAUGGGCAGGUUGAAGGUUGGGUAACACUAACUGGAGGACCGAACCGACUAAUGUUGAAAAAUUAGCGGAUGACCUGUGGCUGGGGGUGAAAGGCCAAUCAAACCGGGAGAUAGCUGGUUCUCCCCGAAAGCUAUUUAGGUAGCGCCUCGUGAAUUCAUCUCCGGGGGUAGAGCACUGUUUCGGCUAGGGGGCCAUCCCGGCUUACCAACCCGAUGCAAACUGCGAAUACCGGAGAAUGUUAUCACGGGAGACACACGGCGGGUGCUAACGUCCGUCGUGAAGAGGGAAACAACCCAGACCGCCAGCUAAGGUCCCAAAGUCAUGGUUAAGUGGGAAACGAUGUGGGAAGGCCCAGACAGCCAGGAUGUUGGCUUAGAAGCAGCCAUCAUUUAAAGAAAGCGUAAUAGCUCACUGGUCGAGUCGGCCUGCGCGGAAGAUGUAACGGGGCUAAACCAUGCACCGAAGCUGCGGCAGCGACGCUUAUGCGUUGUUGGGUAGGGGAGCGUUCUGUAAGCCUGUGAAGGUGUGUCGUGAGGCAUGCUGGAGGUAUCAGAAGUGCGAAUGCUGACAUAAGUAACGAUAAAGCGGGUGAAAAGCCCGCUCGCCGGAAGACCAAGGGUUCCUGUCCAACGUUAAUCGGGGCAGGGUGAGUCGACCCCUAAGGCGAGGCCGAAAGGCGUAGUCGAUGGGAAACGGGUUAAUAUUCCCGUACUUGGUGUUACUGCGAAGGGGGGACGGAGAAGGCUAUGUUGGCCGGGCGACGGUUGUCCCGGUUUAAGCGUGUAGGUGUGUGUUCCAGGUAAAUCCGGUU